CACUAGCAGUCGAGCGGACUUGACAGAGCUUGCUCUGUUCAAGUCAGCGGCGGACGGGUGAGUAACACGUGGGCAACCUGCCCUGCAGAUUGGGAUAACUCCGGGAAACCGGGGCUAAUACCGAAUAAUAUAGAAGAUCUCAUGAUCUUCUUUUGAAAGACGGUUUUGCUGUCACUGCAGGAUGGGCCCGCGGCGCAUUAGCUAGUUGGUGAGGUAACGGCUCACCAAGGCGACGAUGCGUAGCCGACCUGAGAGGGUGAUCGGCCACACUGGGACUGAGACACGGCCCAGACUCCUACGGGAGGCAGCAGUAGGGAAUCUUCCGCAAUGGACGAAAGUCUGACGGAGCAACGCCGCGUGAGUGAAGAAGGUUUUCGGAUCGUAAAACUCUGUUGUCAGGGAAGAACAAGUACGGGAGUAACUGUCCGUACCUUGACGGUACCUGGCCAGAAAGCCACGGCUAACUACGUGCCAGCAGCCGCGGUAAUACGUAGGUGGCAAGCGUUGUCCGGAAUUAUUGGGCGUAAAGCGCGCGCAGGCGGUCUUUUAAGUCUGAUGUGAAAGCCCACGGCUCAACCGUGGAGGGUCAUUGGAAACUGGAAGACUUGAGUGCAGAAGAGAAGAGCGGAAUUCCACGUGUAGCGGUGAAAUGCGUAGAGAUGUGGAGGAACACCAGUGGCGAAGGCGGCUCUUUGGUCUGUAACUGACGCUGAGGCGCGAAAGCGUGGGGAGCGAACAGGAUUAGAUACCCUGGUAGUCCACGCCGUAAACGAUGAGUGCUAAGUGUUGGGGGGUUUCCGCCCCUCAGUGCUGCAGCUAACGCAUUAAGCACUCCGCCUGGGGAGUACGGCCGCAAGGCUG
rnacentral:rRNA from 1 species